GCCUGGGUGGCUCAGUCGGUUAAGCAUCUGACUUUGGCUCAGGUCAUGAUUUCAUGGUUCAUGGGUUUGAGCCCCAUGUCAGGCU
rfam:Felis catus isolate Cinnamon breed Abyssinian chromosome B4, whole genome shotgun sequence.